rnacentral:rRNA from 1 species
GAUGAACGCUGGCGGCGUGCCUAAUACAUGCAAGUCGAGCGAACAGACGAGGAGCUUGCUCCUCUGACGUUAGCGGCGGACGGGUGAGUAACACGUGGAUAACCUACCUAUAAGACUGGGAUAACUUCUGGAAACCACAUCUAAUACCGGAUAAUAUAUUGAACCGCAUGCUUUCCUCGUGAAAGACAGUUUUGCUGUCACUUAUCUCUCGAUCCGCCCCGCAUUUGCUAGUUGGUCAGGUAACGGCUUACCAAGGCAACGAUGCGUAGCCGACCUGAGAGGGUGAUAGGCGACACGAGAACUGGAACACGGACAAGACGACUAAGAGAGGCAGCAGUAGGGAAUCGGACGCAAUGGGCGGAAACAUGACGGAGCGAGGCCGAGUGAGAGAUGAAGGUGUUCGGAUAGUAAAAAUCGGUUAUGAGGGAAGAACAAAUGUGAAAAGAAAAAUGCACGAAGUGACGGUACCUAAACAGAAAGCAACGGCUAACUACGUG